rnacentral:rRNA from 1 species
GACGAACGCUGGCGGCGUGCUUAACACAUGCAAGUCGAACGAUGAACCCGGAGCUUGCUCCGGUGGAUUAGUGGCGAACGGGUGAGUAACACGUGAGUAACCCGCCCUUGACUCUGGGAUAACUGCGGGAAACUGUAGCUAAUACCGGAUACGACCCUCGGCGGCAUCGCCAGGGGGUGGAAAGAAUUUCGGUCAAGGAUGGACUCGCGGCCUAUCAGCUAGUUGGUGAGGUAACGGCUCACCAAGGCGACGACGGGUAGCCGGCCUGAGAGGGUAACCGGCCACACUGGGACUGAGACACGGCCCAGACUCCUACGGGAGGCAGCAGUGGGGAAUAUUGCACAACGGGCGCAAGCCUGAUGCAGCAACGCCGCGUGAGGGAUGACGGCCUUCGGGUUGUAAACCUCUUUUAGUAGGGAAGAAGCGAAAGUGACGGUACCUGCAGAAAAAGCACCGGCUAACUACGUGCCAGCCGCCGCGGUAA